rnacentral:rRNA from 1 species
CACGUAGGGCGCAAGCGUUGUCCGGAAUUAUUGGGCGUAAAGAGCUCGUAGGCGGUCUGUUGCGUCUGCUGUGAAAACUCGGGGCUUAACCCUGAGCCUGCAGUGGAUACGGGCAGACUAGAGGUAGGUAGGGGAGAAUGGAAUUCCCGGUGUAGCGGUGAAAUGCGCAGAUAUCGGGAGGAACACCGGUGGCGAAGGCGGUUCUCUGGGCCUUACCUGACGCUGAGGAGCGAAAGCGUGGGGAGCGAACAGG